rnacentral:lncRNA from 1 species
GCAUAUAUUAGGUAAUUCUACUCAUCCAGUACUGAAAACAACAGAAAUUUACCUACUACCACCAUACAUGCCAAGUCUUGGAAACAAAAAAAAAGUUUUACAAGGUCAGCUAGGGAAUUUUUUUUUCCAUGUAUACAUGGCAUAAAUCUUAAAGGUUACAUGGAGGAAUAUGAUAACUUAAAUCUUAGUCCUAGGUUAGAAAGCAGCAACAGAACACCCAACCUCCAGAAGCAAGCCAGUGUAGCUUUGGUGGGUAUGAAUAAGAGACAGUAUGAAGACCUUCAUUCAUUAUUUAGAUCAGAAUAUCAAGAAUUCACUUUUAAGUGUUCAAAUUAGCGAAUGCUACAUGUGACAGAGAACAAAUGGAUAAACCGUUAGUCCUUGCCAAUUCAGUCUAUACAAAUUUCCAAGAGGAAACCUGCUAUAGUUCCUCAUUCAAGCACUAAGUAAUAGAACUACAUUGAUACAGGGAGAUGUAUCUUGAACUCUUGAUGAUUCCUUGACUAGUAGUACUUCUGGGAAAGAUAGGAACCAACAUAAAUAAUGCAAUAAAAGACCAAGCCCAGCUUCUAUUUUGGAAAUAUUAAAGACGGGCGGCAUCACUUCUUCGUGAUCCUUCCUCUUACUACUCUUCUCGGUUAAGGACUGAGAAGCAAUUGAACUUCUGCCAUUGUACUUUCCUUUAAACCACAAGAAGAAUCUUCAACUGGCAGGAAACCAUCCUAGCCACAAAAGGCCAACUUACAGAUGCUGAAAUUAAAACAUUUUCAGCAAACGCAGCUUUCAAUGAUCAGAUAUCUCCAUUUCCUUUACGAGAAGGUUCUUAAACCACAUGUCAGGAGCCUAUACUGCUAGCCAGCUUAUGUUUCGCCCUCUUUACAUGGUUGGAGUAGUCAAGAAAAACUUCAUUCAAAGAAGCUGCAUGUGCACAAAGACUUAAACCAGUCAUGAGUACAGUCCACUCCAUCUAGACGAGAAAACAGAUGAAAAGGAAAAAAGAAAUUCAUCAUCAUGUAUGGAGGCAGAGAAAAACCUUAUACAAAUUAACACCCAGGUUUCAUGUAUAAGAUCUAAACAAGGGCUCCAUAUUCAUGUUCACAGUGAAGCAUGCAUAGUAAGUAUUGGUUGGGUAUUGAUAACUCCUUUUCCCUUUAGUCGGUUCCUUGAUCUGAAAAUCAGAUUGCUUAGGAUCAAUUAAGCACCUCAUUACUUUUCCAAAUCUUACAGAGAAAUGAGUGCAUGUUGCUUUGCUUUUAACAGCUCAUUCACCUCCUGCGAAUAAUAGAAGGAUGAAAAUACUAAAAGUUAAAGUAUAAAAAUUUUCUUCAUCCUCAUUUUGAAGAAAAAGUUAGCUGAAAUAUCAAAAAUUACCAUAAUUUUAACCGUGAAGUAGAUUAUAAACAUCAAGAUGUCACAGAGGAGAUAUACAACGUGAAACUUCCGCAAUCCAAGACAAGCAAAUAUUAAAGGAGAUAUACAAAGUGAAAAUUUCGCAAUCCAAGACAAGUAAAUUAUAAUGUAAACCAGCUUAAACAGCAAUCCAACCAGAUAUGAAACAUCAAGAUUAAGAUACCUAAAGUUAAACUCGCUGUUUCUCAUCAAGAUUAAGAUACCUAAUGUUAAACUUGCUGUUUCUCCAAGGCAGAUCAAUCAAAGACUGCUGUUCCUUGGAAAAGCACAGCCGCUCCUCAUAUAAAAGGAGAGAUCCACAGGCACAUAUAUGCAUGAGUGAAAAUGCUAAUCCCAUACACUUUUCUACAGAAGUCCUAAAAACAAGAAUUAAUUAAUACAAAUACUCUUCUACUAGGAGAAUCUAAAACAAUGCUUGCUAUAACAUUAUCAAUAGCUAAAAGACUGAAGGUCUUUGGAAACCAAAGACUCAGAGGUGUUGCAGAAAUCUCCUAAAAGUAUAGGGUUGUUCGUGUGUAGCCAUGAGAUUUGGAGUGCCUGUGCAACAUAUCUUCCAUACUGGACUAACAUUUGUGAUAGAUACAGAAUACCAUCUCAGAUCUAACAAUGUUUAAUUCAAUAUGUAUGACUUGUGGUUUAAGAAAUUGUUAAGCCAGAGAAACUAAAAGCAUGAACUACAACUGGGAAUCACACUUCAUACAUAUGCACCUAUCAUUUCUGCUACUUCACCAUUAUUAGAAAAUCUCCAAUUGCACAAAUAUUGUACAUGCACAAUGUUGUCCAAUUGAAACCACCAAAAGUAUUGUCGGACUUCAACCAAAUCCCCGAACUACAACAAUUAUUUUAUUUUCAAAAUUAUGUAAUUGAUACACAGUUAUCCACAAUGAAAGUACUAUAGAAAAAAUUAUGAUGAUGGAGUCCAAGUCAAAUUCGCGUGCAUGUCAACUAAUUCACCAGGCACCUGCUACUUCCCACUAGUAAAAAUUAUUGGGUAACUCUGUCAACAACAACAACAACCCAGUAUAAUCCCAUUAGUGGGGUCUGGGGAGGGUAGUAUGUACGCAGACCUUACCCUUACCCUUGGGUAGAGAGGC